GACGAACGCUGGCGGCAUGCUUAACACAUGCAAGUCGAACGGAACGGCCCUGCCUUUGUGCGCUGCGCGAGUGGCGGCCGGGUGAGUAACACGUGAGUAACCUGCCCUUGACUUUGGGAUAACCUCAUGCCACUUGGGCUCUUCCCGCCUAAGAGCUCUUGCUGCAUGGUGGGGGUUGGUAAGAUUCGGUGGUUGGGAAUGGACGAGCGGCUUAUCGGCUUGGUGGUGGGGUAGUGGCUUACCAAGGCUAGGACGGGUAGCCGGCCUGAGAGGGUCACCGGCCACAUUGGGACUGAGAUACGGCCCAGACUCGUACGGGAGGCAGCGGUGGGGAAUAGUACACAAUGGGCGGGAGCCUGAUGCAGCAACGCAGCGUGCGGGAUGACGGCCUUGGGGUAGUAAACCGAUUUCGCCUUAGACGAGGCGAGAGUGACGGUAAUGGGUAAAGAAGCACCGGCUAACUACGUG
rnacentral:rRNA from 1 species